rnacentral:rRNA from 1 species
UACGUAGGGUGCGAGCGUUGUUCGGAAUUACUGGGCGUAAAGCGCGCGUAGGCGGACCUGCAAGUCGGGGGUGAAAGCCCGAGGCUCAACCUCGGAACUGCCUUCGAUACUGCGGGUCUCGAGUCCGGGAGAGGUGAGUGGAAUUCCUAGUGUAGAGGUGAAAUGCGUAGAUAUUAGGAAGAACACCAGUGGCGAAGGCGGCUCACUGGCCCGGUACUGACGCUGAGGCGCGAAAGCGUGGGGAGCAAACAGG